rnacentral:lncRNA from 1 species
UUUUCAGACUCAGCCCACUUGCACCCAAGUGAAUUAACAGCCUUGUUGCUCACACAAAGCCUGUUUAGGUGGUCUUCUAUACGGACAUGCUUGACACUUGGUGCCAAAAUCUGGGCCAGGGGGACUCCUUCGUGAGACCGGCCCCCUGUCCUGGCCCUCAUUCCGUGAAGAGAUCCACCUGCGACCUCGGGUCCUCAGACCAGCCCAAGGAACAUCUCACCAAUUUCAAAUCGGCCCCUUCUAGGGUCCCUGGAGCUCUGGCUCAAAGCUCUCUGGCUGACUCCUUCCCAGAUCUCCUCGGCUUAGUGGCUGAAGACUGAUGCUGCCCGAUCGCCUCAGAAGCCCCUUGGACCAUCACAGAUGCCGAGCUUCGGGUAACUCUUACGGUGGAGGGAUCUGCAAUCAGAACUAUUGAACUUCUCCAUUCAGACCGCCACUCACACCUAUGGGAAAAGGGUAAUGUAUCAUCGGCUUAGCAACAGGGAAUACUAUUCGUAUGAUGGAAAAUGGGGACAAAAGGCUUUGGUACAUAAAACAUUAUUCCUUCCUUGGCCUAAAAACUCAUCGCCACCUACAUUAAAGCUAAUAUGC